GACUGCGUACCUUUUGUAUAAUGGGUCAGCGACUUAUAUUCUGUAGCAAGGUUAACCGAAUAGGGGAGCCGAAGGGAAACCGAGUCUUAACCGGGCGUUAAGUUGCAGGGUAUAGACCCGAAACCCGGUGAUCUAGCCAUGGGCAGGUUGAAGGUUGGGUAACACUAACUGGAGGACCGAACCGACUAAUGUUGAAAAAUUAGCGGAUGACUUGUGGCUGGGGGUGAAAGGCCAAUCAAACCGGGAGAUAGCUGGUUCUCCCCGAAAGCUAUUUAGGUAGCGCCUCGUGAAUUCAUCUCCGGGGGUAGAGCACUGUUUCGGCAAGGGGGUCAUCCCGACUUACCAACCCGAUGCAAACUGCGAAUACCGGAGAAUGUUAUCACGGGAGACACACGGCGGGUGCUAACGUCCGUCGUGAAGAGGGAAACAACCCAGACCGCCAGCUAAGGUCCCAAAGUCAUGGUUAAGUGGGAAACGAUGUGGGAAGGCCCAGACAGCCAGGAUGUUGGCUUAGAAGCAGCCAUCAUUUAAAGAAAGCGUAAUAGCUCACUGGUCGAGUCGGCCUGCGCGGAAGAUGUAACGGGGCUAAACCAUGCACCGAAGCUGCGGCAGCGACACUGUGUGUUGUUGGGUAGGGGAGCGUUCUGUAAGCCUGUGAAGGUGUACUGUGAGGUAUGCUGGAGGUAUCAGAAGUGCGAAUGCUGACAUAAGUAACGAUAAAGCGGGUGAAAAGCCCGCUCGCCGGAAGACCAAGGGUUCCUGUCCAACGUUAAUCGGGGCAGGGUGAGUCGACCCCUAAGGCGAGGCCGAAAGGCGUAGUCGAUGGGAAACAGGUUAAUAUUCCUGUACUUGGUGUUACUGCGAAGGGGGGACGGAGAAGGCUAUGUUGGCCGGGCGACGGUUGUCCCGGUUUAAGCGUGUAGGCUGGUUUUCCAGGCAAAUCCGGAAAAUCAAGGCUGAGGCGUGAUGACGAGGCACUACGGUGCUGAAGCAACAAAUGCCCUGCUUCCAGGAAAAGCCUCUAAGCAUCAGGUAACAUCAAAUCGUACCCCAAACCGACACAGGUGGUCAGGUAGAGAAUACCAAGGCGCUUGAGAGAACUCGGGUGAAGGAACUAGGCAAAAUGGUGCCGUAACUUCGGGAGAAGGCACGCUGAUAUGUAGGUGAAGUCCCUCGCGGAUGGAGCUGAAAUCAGUCGAAGAUACCAGCUGGCUGCAACUGUUUAUUAAAAACACAGCACUGUGCAAACACGAAAGUGGACGUAUACGGUGUGACGCCUGCCCGGUGCCGGAAGGUUAAUUGAUGGGGUCAGCGCAAGCGAAGCUCUUGAUCGAAGCCCCGGUAAACGGCGGCCGUAACUAUAACGGUCCUAAGGUAGCGAAAUUCCUUGUCGGGUAAGUUCCGACCUGCACGAAUGGCGUAAUGAUGGCCAGGCUGUCUCCACCCGAGACUCAGUGAAAUUGAACUCGCUGUGAAGAUGCAGUGUACCCGCGGCAAGACGGAAAGACCCCGUGAACCUUUACUAUAGCUUGACACUGAACAUUGAGCCUUGAUGUGUAGGAUAGGUGGGAGGCUUUGAAGUGUGGACGCCAGUCUGCAUGGAGCCGACCUUGAAAUACCACCCUUUAAUGUUUGAUGUUCUAACGUGGACCCGUGAUCCGGGUUGCGGACAGUGUCUGGUGGGUAGUUUGACUGGGGCGGUCUCCUCCUAAAGAGUAACGGAGGAGCACGAAGGUUGGCUAAUCCUGGUCGGACAUCAGGAGGUUAGUGCAAUGGCAUAAGCCAGCUUGACUGCGAGCGUGACGGCGCGAGCAGGUGCGAAAGCAGGUCAUAGUGAUCCGGUGGUUCUGAAUGGAAGGGCCAUCGCUCAACGGAUAAAAGGUACUCCGGGGAUAACAGGCUGAUACCGCCCAAGAGUUCAUAUCGACGGCGGUGUUUGGCACCUCGAUGUCGGCUCAUCACAUCCUGGGGCUGAAGUAGGUCCCAAGGGUAUGGCUGUUCGCCAUUUAAAGUGGUACGCGAGCUGGGUUUAGAACGUCGUGAGACAGUUCGGUCCCUAUCUGCCGUGGGCGCUGGAGAACUGAGGGGGGCUGCUCCUAGUACGAGAGGACCGGAGUGGACGCAUCACUGGUGUUCGGGUUGUCAUGCCAAUGGCACUGCCCGGUAGCUAAAUGCGGAAGAGAUAAGUGCUGAAAGCAUCUAAGCACGAAACUUGCCCCGAGAUGAGUUCUCCCUGACCCUUUAAGGGUCCUGAAGGAACGUUGAAGACGACGACGUUGAUAGGCCGGGUGUGUAAGCGCAGCGAUGCGUUGAGCUAACCGGUACUAAUGAACCGUGAGGCUUAACCUUACAACGCCGAAGGUGUUU
rnacentral:rRNA from 1 species